rnacentral:rRNA from 1 species
UACGUAGGGGGCAAGCGUUGUCCGGAUUUAUUGGGCGUAAAGAGCGUGUAGGCGGUUUGGUAGGUCCGCUGUGAAAACUCGAGGCUCAACUUCGAGACGCCGGUGGAAACCAUCAGACUAGAGUCCGGAAGAGGAGAGUGGAAUUCCUGGUGUAGCGGUGAAAUGCGCAGAUAUCAGGAAGGACACCGGUGGCUAAGGCGGCUCUCUAGUACGGUACUGACGCUGAGACGCGAAAGCGUGGGGAGCGAACAGG